rnacentral:rRNA from 1 species
GUCGAGCGGACAGAUGGGAGCUUGCUCCCUGAUGUUAGCGGCGGACGGGUGAGUAACACGUGGGUAACCUGCCUGUAAGACUGGGAUAACUCCGGGAAACCGGGGCUAAUACCGGAUGCUUGUUUGAACCGCAUGGUUCAAACAUAAAAGGUGGCUUCGGCUACCACUUACAGAUGGACCCGCGGCGCAUUAGCUAGUUGGUGAGGUAAUGGCUCACCAAGGCAACGAUGCGUAGCCGACCUGAGAGGGUGAUCGGCCACACUGGGACUGAGACACGGCCCAGACUCCUACGGGAGGCAGCAGUAGGGAAUCUUCCGCAAUGGACGAAAGUCUGACGGAGCAACGCCGCGUGAGUGAUGAAGGUUUUCGGAUCGUAAAGCUCUGUUGUUAGGGAAGAACAAGUACCGUUCGAAUAGGGCGGUACCUUGACGGUACCUAACCAGAAAGCCACGGCUAACUACGUGCCAGCAGCCGCGGUAAUACGUAGGUGGCAAGCGUUGUCCGGAAUUAUUGGGCGUAAAGGGCUCGCAGGCGGUUUCUUAAGUCUGAUGUGAAAGCCCCCGGCUCAACCGGGGAGGGUCAUUGGAAACUGGGGAACUUGAGUGCAGAAGAGGAGAGUGGAAUUCCACGUGUAGCGGUGAAAUGCGUAGAGAUGUGGAGGAACACCAGUGGCGAAGGCGACUCUCUGGUCUGUAACUGACGCUGAGGAGCGAAAGCGUGGGGAGCGAACAGGAUUAGAUA